rnacentral:rRNA from 1 species
GAUGAACGCUGGCGGCGUGCCUAAUACAUGCAAGUCGAGCGAACGGACGAGAAGCUUGCUUCUCUGAUGUUAGCGGCGGACGGGUGAGUAACACGUGGAUAACCUACCUAUAAGACUGGGAUAACUUCGGGAAACCGGAGCUAAUACCGGAUGAUAUUUUGAACCGCAUGGUUCAAAAGUGAAAGACGGUAUUGCUGUCACUUAUAGAUGGAUCCGCGCUGCAUUAGCUAGUUGGUAAGGUAACGGCUUACCAAGGCAACGAUGCAUAGCCGACCUGAGAGGGUGAUCGGCCACCCUGGAACUGAGACACGGUCCAGACUCCUACGGGAGGCAGCAGUAGGGAAUCUUCCGCAAUGGGCGAAAGCCUGACGGAGCAACGCCGCGUGAGUGAUGAAGGUCUUCGGAUCGUAAAACUCUGUUAUUAGGGAAGAACAUAUGUGUAAGUAACUGUGCACAUCUUGACGGUACCUAAUCAGAAAGCCACGGCUAACUACGUG